GGGGGCGACCUGGGUUCGACGGGGGUAGUUGAGACCACGGCGGCAGGCCGAGCGACCCAGUGACUCGUUAAUCCAAGGGACUAAACUGAAAAGCAGACUCAUACGAGUACGCUCUGGCCGCUUGAGGCCAGCGUCUCCGGGGGCACGCGGCCCACGGAUCUUCGGAGGCGUAAUUAAACGGGCUGGCUGGACGGGGUUUCGAAGUGACCCGCUCGGCGAGAAAAUUUGCUCCGAUAGCCUCAAGGCAGCCUGUUCGCCGGCGUCCACGAGGCGAAAAUCAAAUGACGAAAUAAGCCUGUAGAAGUCUUGGGGGAAGAUCUCCGGACGCGGGUUCAAAUCCCGCCGCCUCCACCA
rnacentral:tmRNA from 1 species